GCGGCUCCAGGCGGCGCUGCAGCUGUUCCGGACGUCCGUUUCCUUUUUUUUUCUAUGUUUCGGUCUUCUCUUUUUCUUCCCCUCCCUCUCUUCUCUCAGUCUGUUUUCCCUCCCCUGUUUUUUUUACGUUUUUCUCUCCUCUCGGUUUCUCUCUUCUGUCGGUUCUUCCUCUCUCUCUCCUCUGUUUUUUUUUGUUUUUUUCUCCUUCU
rnacentral:lncRNA from 1 species